AAGAAAAAGCAAAGAAAAGAAGAUGAGUUAUUGGUUGUGGAUGAGUACAUAGAGACGCGCGUAGUGUGGGCUAGCUCUAGCAGCUUGGAUCGAGUCAAUGGUGGCGACGCCCAGCGGGGAAGGACAAUAAUGCACUAGUGAUUCACGCGCGCCCAUGCGCGCAGAGCCCAACGAUUAUGUUGAUGAGCAUAAAUCACUAUUGGAACAUAAAAAAUAUUUGAAAUGAAAAGGACAAAUUUGGUUAAGCUACAUCUUGAGAGUACCACGUCGGUGUUUUAUACCCAGCAACCUACUGAGGGGCAUCCCAAAGUAAUAGAUUGGUUGGUGGGAAAUCGUCGGACCUGGAACUCGAAGCUAAAAGCGAGGACAUAAGACACAGAUUUAUUUAAGGUCGGACCGCCAGAGUAGUGUAAUACCCUACAUCCUAUUUGAGGUGUUGUAUAUUGCGCCCUGCGCUUGGGUGUUUUUUGGUGUUAAGGAUCUAGUCCUCAAUUGUGAUUGUAUGAGGUCUUCGCCUACCGAUCUAGGGAUCUCUGCCCUCCUUUAUAUACUCCAGGGGGUGGGAUUACUAGUCGGUUACAAGAUAGGAGUCCUAAUAGGAUUACAUGUUAUGAAUUCUAGUAGGAGUCCAUCUUCUUCCUUCCUUGCGGGUACUGGGGAUUUAUUUCCGACAAGCCCCCGAGCGCUUCAUAGUCGAAUGCAGUAAUCUUCGAGUACUUUUCAGAUCUUUGCCGAGUAGUUUUAGAGCUUCUUGAGUAUUUUGUCUAGCUAAAUUUUCAAAAUUCCUCAAAAACUGUCAUGAGGCUAUGGUGUGCUCAAGCCCUUGAUCGUCUUGAUUUUGUAAUCUUCAUCUUUGGAAUGUGAUAUGGAGGGUGGUG
rnacentral:lncRNA from 1 species